rnacentral:rRNA from 1 species
GACGAACGCUGGCGGCGUGCCUAAUACAUGCAAGUCGAACGAACCGCGACUAGGUGCUUGCACUUGGUCAAGGUGAGUGGCGAACGGGUGAGUAACACGUGGGUAACCUACCUCAUAGUGGGGGAUAACAGUCGGAAACGACUGCUAAUACCGCAUAGGACAUAGGAUCACAUGAUCCAGUGAGGAAAGGUGGCGCAAGCUAUCGCUAAGAGAUGGACCCGCGGUGCAUUAGCUAGUUGGUAGGGUAAAGGCCUACCAAGGCGAUGAUGCAUAGCCGACCUGAGAGGGUGAUCGGCCACAUUGGGACUGGGACACGGCCCAAACUCCUACGGGAGGCAGCAGUAGGGAAUCUUCCGCAAUGGACGCAAGUCUGACGGAGCAACGCCGCGUGAGUGAAGAAGGUCUUCGGAUCGUAAAGCUCUGUUGUUAGAGAAGAACAGCGCAUAGAGUAACUGUUAUGCGUGUGACGGUAUCUAACCAGAAAGCCACGGCUAACUACGUG